GUGGGGAAUCUUCCGCAAUGGACGAAAGUCUGACGGAGCAACGCCGCGUGAGUGAUGAAGGUCUUCGGAUUGUAAAGCUCUGUUAAUCGGGACGAAAGAGCCUAGUGUGAAUAAUGCUAGGAAGUGACGGUACCGGAAUAGAAAGCCACGGCUAACUACGUGCCAGCAGCCGCGGUAAUACGUAGGUGGCAAGCGUUGUCCAGAAUUAUUGGGCGUAAAGCGCGCGCAGGCGGAUCUGCCAGUCUGUCUUAAAAGUUCGGGGCUUAACCCCGUGAUGGGAUGGAAACUACAGAUCUAGAGUAUCGGAGAGGAAAGUGGAAUUCCUAGUGUAGCGGUGAAAUGCGUAGAUAUUAGGAAGAACACCAGUGGCGAAGGCGACUUUCUGGACGAAAACUGACGCUGAGGCGCGAAAGCCAGGGGAGCGAACGGGAUUAGAUACCCGUGUAGUCC
rnacentral:rRNA from 1 species